rnacentral:rRNA from 1 species
GUUGGCUUGGAAGCAGCCAUUCAUUUAAAGAGUGCGUAACAGCUCACUAGUCGAGCGGUUUGGCGUGGAUAAUAAUCGGGCAUAAGCUAUUUACCGAAGCUGUGGAAUAUAUAAUAUUGGUAGGGGGGCAUUCCAUAUUCGUCGAAGAUAAAGGGUUACCUUUAUUGGAGGGUAUGGAAAAGCAAAUGUAGGUAUAAGUAACGAUAAGGAGGGCGCGAACCCCUCCCGCCGGAAGACUGAGGGUUCCUGAACAACGUUAAUCGGUUCAGGGUUAGUCGGGACCUAAGGAGAAGCCGAAAGGCGCAUCUGAUGGAAGAACAGGUUAAUAAUCCUGUACUGGCGUAUGGAGCGAAGUGGGGACGGAGAAGUGAAAGUCCUGCGUACUGACGGAAUAGUACGUUGAAGGGUGUAGGUUUAGAUAUUCGUAGGCAAAUCCGCGGAUAGAGCCGAACCUGAAAGUACCGAGCGUCUUCGGACAAUCGGAUAUGGAUGUAAUCAGACUCCCUAGAAAAACCGCUAAGCAUAUUCAUACGGCACCCGUACCAUAAACGGACACACGUGGUCAAGUAUAAAGUAUUAAGGCGCUCGAGUGAUCCGCGGCUAAGGAACUAGGCAAAAUAGUCCUGUAACUUCGGAAAAAGGGACACCUACCCAGCGAUGGGAGGUCGCAGAAGAAUGGCCCAGGCGACUGUUUAACAAAAACAUAGGGCUUUGCCAAAUCGCAAGAUGAAGUAUAAGGCCUGACACCUGCCCGGUGCUGGAAGGUUAAGAGGAGAUGUCAUCGCAAGAGAAGCAUUGAAUUGAAGCCCCAGUAAACGGCGGCCGUAACUAUAACGGUCCUAAGGUAGCGAAAUUCCUUGUCGGGUAAGUUCCGACCUGCACGAAUGGUGUAACGAUCUGGGCACUGUCUCAGCCGCGAGCUCGGUGAAAUUGUAGUAUCGGUGAAGAUGCCGAUUACCCGCAACGGGACGAAAAGACCCCGUGAACCUUUACUGCAACUUAACAUUGAAUUUGGGUAAUUGAUGUGUAGGAUAGGCCGGAGGCUAUGAAGCAGGUACGCCAGUAUUUGUGGAGCCGUUGUUGAAAUACGGUCCUUCAGUUAUUUGAGUUCUAACCCGUGGAUAUGGGGACACUGUUUGGUGGGUAGUUUGACUGGGGUGGUCGCCUCCAAAAGAGUAACGGAGGCUUCCAAAGGUACCCUCAGGCCGAUUGGUAACCGGUCGCAGAGUGUAAUGGUAUAAGGGUGCUUGACUGCGAGACAAACAAGUCGAACAGGUAGGAAACUAGGGCAUAGUGAUCCGGUGGUUCCGCAUGGAAGGGCCAUCGCUCAAAGGAUAAAAGGU